rnacentral:misc_RNA from 1 species
GAUGAAGAACGUAGCGAAAUGCGAUACGUAAUGUGAAUUGCAAAUUCAGUGAAUCAUCGAGUCUUUGAACGCACAUUGCGCCCCCUGGUAUUCCGGGGGGCAUGCCUGUCCGAGCGUCAUCGCUGCCCUCAAGCACGGCUUGUGUGUUGGGCCCCGUCCUCCGAUCCCGGGGGACGGGCCCGAAAGGCAGCGGCGGCACCGCGUCCGGUCCUCGAGCGUAUGGGGCUUUGUCACCCGCUCUGUAGGCCCGGCCGGCGCUUGCCGAUCAACCCAAAUUUUUUUAUCCAGGUUGACCUCGGAUCAGGUAGGGAUACCCGCUGAACUUAAGCAUAUCAAUAAGCGGAGGA